rnacentral:misc_RNA from 1 species
UAAUCUCACUUCAACAACUUUAUUGUUGUUUGAAUGUGGACUUGGAUGUUGCCGUGUCAUUACGGCUCGUCUCAAAUGCCUGAGUGUACCCUGUUUUGCAGCGUAUCCAGUGUAAUAAACAUUUCACUAGAGUUGGUUGAAAGACCGCGUUUGUAAUUUGGGCUCUAUGCUUCGAACCGUCCGCUCUGUGGACAAUUUCUUGACA